GUGAAUCAUCGAAUUUUUGAACGCAAAUUGCACUCUCUUCUGUGAGUAUGCCUGUUUGUGGUUCAGCCUAAGAAAAAUCGACAUAUUCGCUGUUUCGCGGUUUCUUUCGUUUGCAGUUUUGUCAUCUUAAACCUUUUUGUUUUAAGCGGCUUAAAAUUUUCUUUACGUUUCCACUAACUUUUCUAACAUUUACUUACUCUUUUAAUGUAUCGAUCUUUAUUAGACGUGGCCGUUUCAUCGGAUCGCGUCCAUAUAUAUUUCGUUAACUUA
rnacentral:misc_RNA from 1 species